rnacentral:rRNA from 1 species
CAGCCGCCACGGUAAUACGAAGGGUGCAAGCGUUACUCGGAAUUACUGGGCGUAAAGCGUGCGUAGGUGGUGGUUUAAGUCCGUUGUGAAAGCCCUGGCUCAACCUGGGAAUUGCAGUGGAUACUGGGUCACUAGGGUGUGGUAGAGGAUAGUGGAAUUUCCGGUGUAGCAGUGAAAUGCGUAGAGAUCGGAAGGAACAUCUGUGGCGAAGGCGACUAUCUGGGCCAACACUGACACUGAGGCACGAAAGCGUGGGGAGCAAACAGGAUUAGAUACCCGCGUAGUCCCUGUCUCUUAUACA